AGAUUCGUUCAGGUAACUCAGGGAAUUGUAUUGUUGAGCUCAUUCAGAAGUGCAGAUAUCUCAAGAAACUGUUCCUAUGUGCUAACAGAUCCGUAUCUGACAAGGAGUUGAAUGCACUGGCACAACACAGUAAAUAUUUGGAGCAGUUGGAUAUUCUCGGGACUCGAGAAGUCAGUAUAAAUGGAGUCCGCAGGGUGUUAGAUAACUGUAAGAAGCUGACUUUUCUAGAUGUUUCCUUCUGUGCGAAUGUGGACUUUGCCUUUGUGGAGGUGUGUAAAACCGAGUACCCCCAUGUGAACAUCAAGAAAAGUUUCCAAGAUUCUUGAUCAGCAUUAAAGUAUUAUUUUCAUUUAUUUUUUUAGUAGUUUAUUGUUUUAUCUUUGUUGGUCUUCUAGUCAAACUCAAAAAGAUUUAAAUAAAAUAUUCAAGAUAGUUCAGAACUGGGUAAACUGAGAAUUGGUUAGAUUUUGGUUUUUAAUCAUUAAUUAAUUAGUCAAUUAGCUAAUAAUAAUAAGAAUUGAGUUGUUAUGCCAGAAGUCUGUGCUCUUUGAGCGUUUUUCUAGUUAUGAUUACAAUGCCUAACCACUACACUCAUUUCAUGAGCAUGAUGACCAACUGUCAUUGGUAUAUUUGGUUCAUAUUAGAGCAUUUAUUUAUAUAUUCAUGUAUCAUUUAAAAUUUUUUGUAAGUUCAGUUUCUGCUUAGUAACUGAAUUCAGUUGUUUUUUGUGUAUUAUGUUGUUUUGUAUUUUACAAAAAUACUCAAAUAGUCAUAAUAAUGAGACUAUCGUAAAUAAUUAAGAAUUUUUAAUGAUAUUUACUCCUGAUAAGCAUUGUUGGACAGAUGUAUUGACAAUACUAAUUUCUAAUAUAUAUACCUGCAAUGGAUACUAUAAUUCUAGCAUCUCUGCCAAGACCAUUUUGAUAAUAUUUUCUUUUACUGUAUUACUCAAUGCCAAUUCUUUAAUGAUAUUGAGAUAUUAAACAAAAAAAAAAUGUGAUACACUGUUAAAACCAUUGCAAUUUCAAAUGCUGUGAUAAUUAUAAAUGUUUGUAUUUUAUCUGUAUUUUUUAGUCAAAUGUAAUUUGUGUGAGGUUCAUUUCUGCACAAGUUCAGGCACAGUUGAGAAGUGUUUGCCCUUCACCUUUUAAAGUGAAAGUGUCAUUUUCUGAUUGUAACCUUGGGUGAUAUACAUUUUGAUACAUUGUGAAGCUUCACAAUACUGGCACAUGGUUUUAUCAGCUGUUAUGGGUACAGUGACAACAAUAGUUUCUUCAAAUAAUUACCAAAUAUUGUUACCACUUUUGACCAAGACACCUUUAAUCAGGGGAAGAAGCUUUGGUAGAGUCAAAAUAUUGAAGUGGUUGGAAAUCUGAUUUUUGUUUUGUUUUUUUAGAGACAAUAGCUGUAACUACAAAAUACUAUUUUAUACUGAAAUAUAUCUAAUAAUAUAUUAUGAAACCUUAAGUACAAAAAGACACUAGUAUCUCAGGAAUGGAUCUUCUGCUUCCUUGCCGAAAAAUAAAAACUACCUUGCAUAAGUAGCUGCACCCAAAUGACUUUGUAUGGUAUUUUAUAAGUUUGAACUAGAAGUGUUAAAUUAUAUGAUGAGUGCAGCAGUGAUGAUUUUUCAAAAUAAAAAUCGUACAAUUGUGUAUAAUUGAGUAUUAUUCCACUGAUUGAAUUUUAUUGCACAGGCUGGCCUAAGGUUUAGAUAUGCAGCUCUUGAAAUUAUAAACAAGAUCUUUGAUACCACAUUAGAUAAAUAAACAUGAAAAGAUAUAAUAAACUCAAAGCAGUUCUUUCAGUGUUAUGACUUGUUUUAUUCAGUAUAUUUUGGCACAUAUGGUAACAGCAGUUUACACUCUUAAUUAAAAAACAGGCCUCCCCAAAUGACUUCUAUGUACAAUGAGGGGCACAAGCUCAGUACCUUGCAUUGAGCUCAGCAAAAACCAAUGACGUAUGAGGAAGAUGAUUUGAUUGCUUUUGGUGCAACACAAUUAUGACUAAAUUUGCUAAGUUUACUGUCAUUAAAAGUGUCAAAUCAUACUUAUUUUUUUCUUUAUGGUGCACAAUGAAUUCAUUGUCUGAAGUGGACAUAUGUUAAAAAUUACAUCUUUUCUUUAAAUAGCAUUCUCUUAUUUUCCUCUGACACAAACAAGUUUAAGUAUAAUUGUUAAAACCAGCAGUUUUCUUCAUCACAAUUCUCAAUAUUCGAUGACAAUUAUUUUCGAUGAUUUCAGACUAAAAUAUUUACCUGCAUUCGUUUUAUAUCAUGUUAACAAGCACACUUGACAAACACACAACUUGUUUAUAAUUAAUUCAAACUAGCUUUCAUGAAACAAUCUUAAGUUUUCCUGGAAGAUUCCUUGAGUGCAUACAAAGUUAUCUUAUGGGCUGAAUUAAAAAAAUGUUUACAUCUCCAAAGUAAGACGAUAAACUACUACACAUACCAAGCCAACAUGCAACAUUGAAGCAACCUGAGAUUUGGAAUGGCAGUAGAUUUCUUCCAUGACACAAUGCUAUUAUAUAUUAAGCAACAAGACUACAAAUACUCAAAUAUCAAGCAACAUAAUUACCAUAAGCCAACUCAAUGCAGUGAUAUCUACAUAUUAAACAAAAGAAUGCCACAAUUACUACAGAAAACAUUUUACAGAUAGUAUAAUAUUUACAAUUUAAACAUUAACGUGAAUACACUGUCCUAUAAUAAAGACGAAGGUGCUUUCAUUCAUCUGGACAGAUUAAAUUGAAAAAUAAAAUAAUGUCACUAUGUUAUUCUACAUUUUGCUGAACUCCUGUAACCAAGAAAGAAUCUCUUGGUGGACUCUUAAUAGUCCAAAUGUUCAUUUGUCCAAAAGUGUCCUUGUAUACAAAGUUGCAAGCUUACUAUAUUAGUCAUAUGGUUCAUAGGUCUGAAAAUGUACGUUUUUACAGAAAAUCUACUUUUCCACUAGUAAAUUUUAAUGUAAAAAAACUUUCAUAAGAACAGCAGUGGUUUCUGUCAGUGAUGAUAUUAGACGUCUUUCACAAUAAUUUAAGGAAAAAUAAUCUGAAACACUUGAAACUAUUUAAACAUCUAAACUAGACAAAGAUUGAUUUAUGAGCAAGUAAUUUAUAACAGCCUAGUUAUACUUUGGGACAAGUGGGAACACAAGCUCUGAUCUAUGGCAAUGUAUACAUAUUAUGGCACUCAAAAACAGUGUAAUGAAAUAUUUCAACAAAUGAUGGGAUAUUGAAUCAUAGUUACAUGUACCCACAGCAUCGAACAUUUACUGACAUCAA
rnacentral:lncRNA from 1 species